rnacentral:rRNA from 1 species
CAUCACUACGCUAGAUGCAUAUCAAUAAGCGGAGGAAAAGAAACUAACUAGGAUUCCCUCAGUAACGGCGAGUGAAGCGGGAAGAGCUCAAAUUUGAAAUCUUCAAGGUUCUACCUUGACGAAUUGUAGUUUAAAGAAGUGUUUUCUGUUGAAGUUUUGGUAAAAGUUCUUUGGAAUAGGACAUCAUAGAGGGUGAGAAUCCCGUAUUUGACCAUUAUUUUCAGCUGUGUGAUACACUUUCAAAGAGUCGGAUUGUUUGGGAAUGCAGUCCAAAAUGGGUGGUAAAUUUCAUCUAAAGCUAAAUACUGGCGAGAGACCGAUAGCGAACAAGUACCGUGAGGGAAAGAUGAAAAGAACUUUGAAAAGAGAGUUAAACAGUACGUGAAAUUGUCAAAAGGGAAGCGUUUGACACCAGUGUUGUUUUCUCGAAAAUCAAUUAAAAAUGGCUGGAUUUUGUGUUGUAUUGACCUUUAAUCAGCUUUCUUCACUCCUUUUCCUGUCUUUUUUAAUGCACUUUUCGUUUAACAAGUCAACAUCAGUUCCUUUUGCUGUAAAAGAGUCAUUGGAAGGUGGCUUUCUUUUCGGAGAAAGUGUUUAUAGCCUUUGCUCUCUGCAAUCGGAGAGAUUGAGGUCUGCAGCGUAGAUCCUUCGGGGUUAGAUACAUUUGUGCUAAGUUAUAGCCUUUUCAUAGACAACUUGUUGACUAUAUUCAGUCAUGUAGGCUUACUCGCUUAUGUCAUUUUACCUACGCUUAGGAUGUUGACGCGCGUGUGUGCGUG